rnacentral:lncRNA from 15 species
CUAAUUGCAAUGCCCUUGCCUCACCCUCGCACUCCAAGCAUGUAGAACACGAAAAAAAAAAAAGCCCCUAGCUAGAGCCAGUGUUUGGUUUGUCCUUUCCUGGCCACUGUAGAAACAUGGCGGUCUACCAUAGCAGAGGACCCGCUCCCUCUGCAGAUAAAAACAGCUCAUUCUGAAGUAACUGAAACAUGAUUCUUAUUUUCAGGGGAAUAUACACUAAUGAAAAUAUACCUAUGAAUAUUAUAUUCUGUUUCUGCAUACAGAUCCUACAUGUUCCACACUGGAGCAUUAAAACUCAAUGAUAUGUCUACAUGGUGUUCACAACUUGUUACCACUGCACCCAAGUGGCCAAAAAAUCAGUUAUUGCACUUUUAAGCAAGUAUAGUUUACUUUACUGGGAUCAUGCAUGUUUCUGGUGAAAACAUUACACACUUUAAAUACUGCUUGUUUGGCAUCUAAAUAAUAACUAUGAGCAAAAAUGUUGGAUUCUAAAAGGACUCUACUGAUAGGAGAGUCAAUGAUAGUAUAUGUAGGGUUAAAAUGCAAAAAUAAGUAUAUAAAAAUAAAGACAGAACGCAGGCCAUCAAAUGCUACACAUGCAUGAAUAAUGAUACUUAAACUAGAUGCCAUGGAGAUGAGGCGGAAACAGUUGCAAAUAGUUUGAUAUAAGGGGGGGUGGUCUGAAUCUCGCUGUCCUUUAUUGGCGUGGAGAAAAAAAACAGACAGACGCACUUUGGAGUUCACUGCUGGGACGUGUAGCAGUCCUUUCAUCCACAGUGCAGGCUGUGUGGCUCGCUGCUCCGCCCGACAUCCUCUCUCCUCUGCACUACUGUCCUGUCUCCUCUCCUGAACAGAGCCAAACGGAGGAGUGUUUGCCCAAGAAAUAUUCUUCGCUCUCUGGCAACUGGAUGGGAAGAAGG